AAGUCGUAACAAGGUUUCCGUAGGUGAACCUGCGGAAGGAUCAUUACCGAGUGAGGGUGCUCCGUCGCCCGACCUCCCAACCCUGUGUCUACUGUACCUUGUCGUUGCUUCGGCGGACCGGUUGCUGACCAACUGGUUUCGACCGCCGGGGGCCCUGUCGCCCCUGGAGCGCGUCCGCCGAUGGCCCAACUCCCAAAAUCUUGAACCCGAAACCAGUGUCGUCUGAAAACACGUUUGUGAUAAGUACAAUCAAAAACAAAACUUUCAACAACGGAUCUCUUGGUUCUG
rnacentral:misc_RNA from 1 species